rnacentral:rRNA from 1 species
UAGGAUCAAGCGAAUAAGUGCAUGUGGUGGAUGCCUUGGCGAUGUCAGGCGAAGAAGGACGUGCAAGCCUGCGAAAAGCUCUGGGGAGCUGGCAAUGAAGCUUUGAUCCAGAGAUGUCCGAAUGGGGAAACCCACUCCGCAAGGAGUAUCCUGAACUGAAUACAUAGGUUCAGGAGGCGAACCGAGUGAACUGAAACAUCUAAGUAGCUCGAGGAAAAGAAAUCAACCGAGAUUCCCAAAGUAGUGGCGAGCGAAAUGGGAGGAGCCUGCAAGUGAUAAUGACUGCGUUAGCGGAAGCCUCUGGAAAGUGGCACCGUAGUGGGUGAAAGUCCCGUACGCGAAAACCCGGUCAUGGUACUGAGCUUGCGAAAAGUAGGGCGGGGCACGUGAAACCCUGUCUGAACAUGGGGGGACCAUCCUCCAAGGCUAAAUACUCGACAUCGACCGAUAGUGAACUAGUACCGUGAGGGAAAGGCGAAAAGAACCCCGGGAGGGGAGUGAAAUAGAUCCUGAAACCGCAUGCAUACAAACAGUGGGAGCCUCGUAAGGGGUGACUGCGUACCUUUUGUAUAAUGGGUCAGCGACUUACGUUCAGUAGCGAGCUUAACCGAAUAGGGGAGGCGUAGGGAAACCGAGUCUGAUAAGGGCGAUUAGUUGCUGGGCGUAGACCCGAAACCGGAUGAUCUAUCCAUGGCCAGGAUGAAGGUGCGGUAACACGCACUGGAGGUCCGAACCCACUAACGUUGAAAAGUUAGGGGAUGAGCUGUGGAUAGGGGUGAAAGGCUAAACAAAUCCGGAGAUAGCUGGUUCUCUCCGAAAACUAUUUAGGUAGUGCCUCAAGUAUCACCGACGGGGGUAGAGCACUGUUAUGGCUAGGGGGUCAUCGCGACUUACCAAACCAUUGCAAACUCCGAAUACCGUUGAGUGCGAGCUUGGGAGACAGACAUCGGGUGCUAACGUCCGGUGUCGAGAGGGAAACAACCCAGACCGCCGAUUAAGGUCCCCAAGACAUAGUUAAGUGGGAAACGAGGUGGGAAGGCUCAGACAGCCAGGAGGUUGGCUUAGAAGCAGCCAUCCUUUAAAGAAAGCGUAAUAGCUCACUGGUCGAGUCGUCCUGCGCGGAAGAUGUAACGGGGCUCAAACUAUGCACCGAAAUCGCGGAUAUGUACUUUGUACAUAUGGUAGGAGAGCGUUCUGUAGGCCGUUGAAGGUGUCUCGAGAGGGAUGCUGGAGGUAUCAGAAGUGCGAAUGCUGACAUGAGUAGCGAUAAAGGGAGUGAAAAGCUCCCUCGCCGAAAGCCCAAGGUUUCCUGCGCAACGUUCAUCGGCGCAGGGUGAGUCGGCCCCUAAGGCGAGGCUGAAAAGCGUAGUCGAUGGGAAACUGGUUAAUAUUCCAGUACCUCUUUGUAAUGCGAUGGGGGGACGGAGAAGGUUAGGUCAGCCGGGUGUUGGACGUCCCGGUUUAAGCGUGUAGUCGUGCCUGGUAGGCAAAUCCGCCGGGCUUAGAUGAGGCGUGAUGACGAGUGGUCUUGUACCGCGAAGUGAUUGAUACCAUGCUUCCAAGAAAAGCCUCUAAGCUUCAGUUACAGAGAGACCGUACCGCAAACCGACACAGGUGGGCAGGAUGAGAAUUCUAAGGCGCUUGAGAGAACUCGGGAGAAGGAACUCGGCAAAUUAGCACCGUAACUUCGGGAUAAGGUGCGCCCCGGUAGGUUGUAGAGAUUUACUCUCGAAGGCCGAUGGGGUUGCAGUGAAAUGGUGGCUGCGACUGUUUAAUAAAAACACAGCACUCUGCAAACACGAAAGUGGACGUAUAGGGUGUGACGCCUGCCCGGUGCCGGAAGGUUAAGUGAUGGGGUGCAAGCUCUUGAUCGAAGCCCCGGUAAACGGCGGCCGUAACUAUAACGGUCCUAAGGUAGCGAAAUUCCUUGUCGGGUAAGUUCCGACCUGCACGAAUGGCGUAACGAUGGCCACACUGUCUCCUCCCGAGACUCAGCGAAGUUGAAAUGUUUGUGAAGAUGCAAUCUCCCCGCGGCUAGACGGAAAGACCCCAUGAACCUUUACUGUAGCUUUACAUUGGACUUUGAACCGAUCUGUGUAGGAUAGGUGGGAGGCUUUGAAGCCGGGACGCUAGUUCCGGUGGAGCCGACCUUGAAAUACCACCCUGGUUUGUUUGAGGUUCUAACCAUGGCCUGUGAAUCCAGGUCUGGGACCGUGUAUGGUGGGCAGUUUGACUGGGGCGGUCUCCUCCCAAAGAGUAACGGAGGAGUACGAAGGUACGCUAGGUACGGUCGGACAUCGUGCUAAUAGUGCAAUGGCAUAAGCGUGCUUAACUGCGAGACCCACAAGUCGAGCAGAUACGAAAGUAGGUCAUAGUGAUCCGGUGGUUCUGUAUGGAAGGGCCAUCGCUCAACGGAUAAAAGGUACUCUGGGGAUAACAGGCUGAUACCGCCCAAGAGUUCAUAUCGACGGCGGUGUUUGGCACCUCGAUGUCGGCUCAUCACAUCCUGGGGCUGUAGCCGGUCCCAAGGGUAUGGCUGUUCGCCAUUUAAAGUGGUACGUGAGCUGGGUUUAAAACGUCGUGAGACAGUUUGGUCCCUAUCUGCCGUGGGCGCUGGAAAUUUGAAGGGACCUGCUCCUAGUACGAGAGGACCGGAGUGGACAGACCUCUGGUGUACCGGUUAUGACGCCAGUCGUAUCGCCGGGUAGCUAAGUCUGGAAGAGAUAAACGCUGAAAGCAUCUAAGCGUGAAACUCGCCUUAAGAUGAGAUUUCCCUGGGGAUUUAAUCCCCCUAAAGGGUCGUUGAAGACCACAACGUUGAUAGGUCAGGUGUGGAAGCGCAGUAAUGCGUUAAGCUAACUGAUACUAAUUGCCCGUGAGGCUUGAUCCUA